UACGUAGGGGGCAAGCGUUGUCCGGAUUUAUUGGGCGUAAAGAGCUCGUAGGCGGUUUGUCGCGUCUGCUGUGAAAACUCGGGGCUUAACUCCGGGCCUGCAGUGGGUACGGGCAGACUAGAGUGCGGUAGGGGAGACUGGAAUUCCUGGUGUAGCGGUGAAAUGCGCAGAUAUCAGGAGGAACACCGAUGGCGAAGGCAGGUCUCUGGGCAUUAACUGACGCUGAGGAGCGAAAGCAUGGGGAGCGAACAGG
rnacentral:rRNA from 1 species